UAGAUAUGCGAAUAUAUAUCAUGAUCAAGUGGUAGACUGUAUGAAAAGAAUCAAGGAACUUCCAUUAAUGUCUACUGAAGUUGUUGAAGAAAGUGAAGAUGAUGAACCUACACGCCAUUUGCCGACCAAAAGUGUAGAUACCAAACAUGCACACUCUGAGUCGACAGAAAGUUUACAUACUGAAAUUGCACCCUCUAAUCUGACCGAAAGUGUACAUACUGAAAGCAUAUGCCCUGAGCCAAUUGAAAUUGAAAACACUGGAAGCGGACGCUCUGGGACAAUUGAAAAACAAGUUACUUUUGUUGAUAGUUUGGGUUCACAAAUUGUAAGAGGGAUUAAAGUAAAACCCAAAGUUCGAGGCAACCACCGUGCGUUUAAAAAUCCGCUAGAUCAAGUAAGGAAGAAAAGAUCCUUACCUAAAACUGUUCAACCACAAGCAAGUCAAAUGUCGAUGGUGAUGGGAAACAACUAUGCACCAAACGUCAUGCAGCAUGCAUCAUUUCAACCUUCACAUUAUAUGGUGAUGGGAUACCUUCCUGACCCUAGUGGAUCUAUCAAUGCAUCAGUGGCUCAGUAUAGGUACCAACUACCUAAUACUAGCAUGUUCCAACAAAACCUUUUCAACGUCGGAUGUCAGGUAAAAGUGAAAGUUAAUUUUGUAAACUUGUAAUAUUUCCUAGCUAUUGUCAUCUUAAAAAGAAAAAAGAGAAUUUUUUUUUUAAAAAAAAAAAAAAGAAGGAAGAACUUGUAAUAUUACAUAUAACAUUUACAUAAUUUCUGCUUAUUGGAGUUUUCGUUAUUGUCUCGUUGCUCUUUUAGAGUUCAAAUAUUACAGGAACGAGUUGUUCCGAGUCCCAACCAAGUAUUAACUUCUACCAUCAAAUUCCAUCAAGCACUCUGCCUGAUUCAUCUAUGGGAAGUGUCUUGCCUAGCCAGCCAUCAUUACCACCAUAUGAUAACAAUCAAUCAUUGGGGUGUGAAGAUUACCACCAACGUUCGAGCAAUUAAUAUUUCUUUUUCUCAAAGGAAGAGAUGUAACUAUUGUGAGGGGUGGGCUAACUCUUUUUGUCAGGCCUUCCCGAUUGGCAAUAAGAUUUUGAAGUGCGGUUAAAUUCCCUUUUUGUCAGGCCCAAAGCUAUACAAGAAAGGGAGUAGAACAACCAUCUAGCAAUUUUUUGUACCCAUUGUUUUAAAGGUCACAGUUUCCAAGCUCAUCCUUGUAAUCAAACAACAAGGGCUGCAAAGUGAAGAAAGAUUGGUUUUUUUUUUUUCUUUUUUUUCUUUUUUUGAAUUUUGGAAAGUCUUUGUGAAGAAAGAUUGAUUGAAAAGCAUGAUGGGGGGUUGCAAGGUUUCCAUCCUUGUUCAGUAGGCAUGGAUAAGGACAUCAAAAAACAUUUAAAAUGCAUUAUUUUAUGUUGUUAAUGCGAAUAUGCUAAAAUUGAAUUUGCUUCAGAUGACUCAACUUUCCAUCCAUACUUGCAUUUGUUCUUUGACACGUAAAUUAUUGAAAAAAUGUACAGUGAAACGAAAUCAUUGAAUGCAUUUUUGUUUCCAGUUUAUGUUGAGAUGAUUUUCACUGGGCAUGGAAUGAUAAAGUUUGA